GAAAUGCGAUAAGUAAUGCGAAUUGCAGAUUUCAGUGAAUCAUCGAAGCUUUGAACGCACAUUGCACCCGCCAGCACUCUGGCGGGCAUGCCUGUUCGAGCGUCAUUUCAACCAUCAAGCCCCGGGCUUGUGUUGGGGACCUGCGGCUGCCCGCCGGCCCGGAAAAACAGUGGCGGGCUCACUGCCACCCCGAGCGUAGUAGUCUUAUCUCGCUGAGGGCGUGCUGCGGGUUCCGGGCGUUAAACCCCCCCAUACCCCAAGGUUGACCUCGGAUCAGGUAGGAAUACCCGCUGAACUUAA
rnacentral:misc_RNA from 1 species